rnacentral:lncRNA from 1 species
AAUUCAAACUCGGACAGCCACCCACCCGAAAUAUUUGAAGGCGGCCUGCUAUUGUAGAGAGCAUUAACCAGGUCAGAAAUCUGAGCAAAAAUGAGUUUUUCCAUUGUAGCGAAAUGAGCCUAUGCUAAUCUUGUAUUGUCCGCUGAAAAUCCAUCAGGAGUGAGUACCUUGAAAUUUGCCACCAGGUUGUCAUUCACAGAGUUUAUCUCCCUUUCGUUGGAUUUUGUUGAGACUCCAAUACCCUACUAGAUGGUAGUAUUGUGCAACGCAGGUGGCAUCACCUUUUUUUAUCUCUAAGGAAUAGUUUGGAAUUUUGAAUUCUUCAAUAAAAACCCAAAUAGAUUGACAAGAAUACCACUUUUAAUUGUUUAUCCUAUACCCUCAUGGCUAGGUUAGGAGAACCUUAAAAAAUUCACAGUUAAAAAGAAAUGUUGAAAGACAUGAGUAAAGACGGAGAAAUUAAUGGGAGUUGAUAACAUUAUUUAAAUAGUUAUGUGAGAAAGAGAAAUUAAUAGCAAAGUUUAUUAAAAUUAAUACAUUGCAUUAAAUUUUGAUUCUUUUGUACCUGGCUCACAGAAACAAAUGGGAAAGCAUACAAUGAACCUCAGAGAAGAAUGUGUUCAUUGUUUGUGGGUCAUGGCUGUUGGAACCAUUUUAUGUGCUUCUUAUUGGUCUGCCUGGACUACCAGAGAAGCAGCUAUUGAGCAAGAGAAGCUUUUAAAAUAUUACUUUGCACUUGAUACUGUUAUUGUAGAGGCUGAGUAGAAUUACUGACCAAUGAGGUGGAUUAGCUUUAUAGGUUUUGGAACCAUAUCUUAAGAUUUGAGUUUUCAACACAAACUUUAUCUGAGGUAACCUUAAGUAGGUACAUGGCUCCCAAAUAUGCAACUAGUGGAGAAUUAACAGAUAGAUCAGAUGUUUUCUCUUUUGGAGUUGUCCUCCUUGAGCUUAUAACUGGAAGGAAACCUGUCGAUCCAACGCAACCUGUGGGAGAAGAGAGUUUGGUUGAGUAGAUACAACUGAACCUGGUUCUUCCUUUUAUAUAGUGAAAUAUAUCAUUAAAAAGAUAACACCCAAAACACCUUAGCCAAAAUCUUUUAUAGACUGACUUGAUGGGCUUUUUAACUCUUGAAAGGGUGCAUGACCACCUUCAAAAUUAGUUUUCUUUUGACUCAGUUUAACAUAUCAUAGAGUAUAGCUCAUGGUAAACGGUAUGGAUAUGGGUACAUGGUUCACUUGGAUACGCGAUUCGUUAUUUUUCACAUUAAUUUAUGAAACCUUCUUUAUGAUGAAUCCGAUACGUGGUACACAAUAUAGUGAAUUCAGUAUGCCUUAUGUAUGGCAAAUGAGAGAAUUAUGUAACUAUGGUAUAACUUGCAAUAAACAUAUUAAAGAUCUGCUUUCUGCUCCAUGAUUUGGUAGUGGUACUUCUAUGCUAUUAUAUGUGUUGUGAGAUUGGUAUAACUAGCAUGUAGCUAUAUGAUAUUGUGGAUAGUGAAAUGGAAAUUUUUUAAGGACAAGGGGGAGUUAUGCCCUUGUUUAUGGGAAGUUGGGAACUAUAAAAGUUAUGAUUGUCCAAUCCGACUUCCAGCCAAAAACGAAAGUAAAACAAGUGUUGCCAAUCAAUGGUGCUUGUCUUUGUCUGCCAAGUGUUAUGUGUAACUAAUUUUGGAACUUGGAUAGAAAAUGUAUCAAUGAUAAGUUGGUGGUGCUGUUUUAUUGGAUAUACAGAUACUAUAGGCUAUGCUGUCUUCAUAUAAGUGUUUGUUUCUAGACUGCUGCAAUUGUUCUUUAUAUAGCUUAUUUUUUUUGUUAUUGUUUUACACAUACGUUCUUUGCAAAUGUAAAUGAUUUUAUUUUUUUAAGAAAUGUUAGGGCAUGCAUUAUGUUUGCUUCUGCUUAUGUAUACAUUUUUUAGAUUUUUCUUUUACUCCUGUUUGAUUUUUUUAAUCAUGGUCUGUGAAUUUUGAUUCACUAGUAUUAUUAUCAACAUCAUUUACUGCUACUGAUAUUUUUUGGCUGCCAAUGAGAAUAAGUGGUUACAAAACUUUUGGUCCUUAAAUGGCUAGGAUGAGUGAUUUGGUAGUAUUGGUGGCACAAGAUGCUAAAAGUGUCUCCUCCACCACAGAGAUAUGGUGCCACUUAAAGCCUCUAUUUUUCUUAAGUACUACCCCACAGAGAAGUUGUUAUGUUAAUUUUUGUACAAAACUGAGAACCUAAAAUAAAAUAAAUUUUCAGGGCGAAAUAAAAUCAUGUAUCCCUUGAAGUUUGACUCUAUGGGCUACAAUGUGUGCUUCAGUUCUUGUUUUUUCGCCAAUGGUUGAAACUUGAAUAGAUAUAGAAUUUGAUGAACUUGAGGCAUACUCCGACCAUUUGUAAGUGCUUUUUCAAUCUUCUGUCAUAGCUAACACAUUCUGAUGGAAUGACAUUCUCAAUUAUUCACGAAUGUUCAUUCUUGGUGGAUUGAAAUUAUGGGUAAUCGAUCUUGGUAGAAUAGAGUGAGAGAAAGAGAAAAUGAUUUCCUUGUGCCGCUUUCCGACCGUAUAUUAGUGCCACAACUCACUCUGCAUCUUCUUGGACCAAUCUAGUAGUUUUGCCUGUUAUGUUUCUUUGUUCAGCCUUGUUGAUGCUUUUGCUUACCACAUGGGGUAUUUUUUAUGUUUUGCGUAUGUAGAAUCAUUUCUGAUUUUAGUUCAUUCAAACACAAGCUUAUAAAAAUGCUGAUAAUUGGAAAUUUGGAUGUAAGGUGUUCUAAUAAUUAUCUGUAUACUCUCAGUGUUGAGUUUGAUAAGGGUGAAAAACCUAUACCUUCUAAGAGAAAAGAAACAAUGGUGGACAUGCAUUCAGAAGUUUCUGCUACAUUGGUUAAUGAUUACAAUGGUAACAUGAUUGUUGAUGCUGGCCCUUCAAAAAGGAUAAGGUAACUGUCCAAGAAACAUGAUCAGGGUUUGUACUAAUCUGGAACAAGUACUUUAAAAGGAAGUGGCAUGAAAUUUCAUUCCACCACUAGGGCCCAUUCCCUGAAUGAAGUGGACAAGUGACUAGAAAUUGAUGACCAUAUUCUCUUGAAUGCUCCUCCUCAAUCUUCAAUGAUAUUAAUGUAUAUUAAUCAAUAAACCUGUAAUGCAAGCACCGACACA